AUUUGUGACCCUCCUGCCUUCAUCUCCAAAUUGCUGGGCUUACAGUUAUCAUAGUGGUAAGUGCAAAGGUCUGUUACAACAUCCUACAUUCCAGAGAGAAGGCAAACUUUCCCCUUUUGGCAUCAGAGGAAUCUGCAAGAGAUGUGAACUGCAGGCAUGUGAACUAAUGUGUGGGAAAGAUGGAUUUGUUGGCAAAGGCAGGAAGAGGUCCAUCUAGGAGAGCCGGGAUACAUGCAAAGGAUGCUGUGACGACGAACAAAACGGGAAAGAUGACAUGGGGGAGCACUUUCAAGUUGUCAGACAGAUUCAAAUCUGUGUCUGUCCAACUGCAGAGCCUAAACUUUUGGUCAUCCGAUCUAUGAAGUUGUAUCCCCGAGAGUGGCUGAUAGAGAACUAAAACUCUUUGGUUUAAGUGGUUCUCCUGGUGUAUUUGUGAGACAUACUUUUGGCUUUGGGGCUUCUACAUUCAACUUUGUUUUACCUGAGAAUGGCUAAGAAGAUUCCCAAAACUCAUGUCAAACUCAUGACUUUCAUUGUAAGUUUCCUUUGCAAGUUUUUAAAAUGUAGCUUGUGAUGAACAAGAGUGUAGACUGUCUAAAAUUAAAUUUAUUGUAACUAUAAAAAACACAUGGCAUUGUACAUAUUUGGGGGGAACUAGGUGAUAUUCCCAUAUGUGUAUACAUUUUAUACAUUGUGUACAGUGCAUACUUUUUGAUUGGUAACUGGAUAAAUUAAGCAUGAAAUGUUUUUUAAAGUUUUUUUUAGUUGUCAAUGGACCUUUAUUUUAUUUAUUUCUAUGUGGUGCUGGGAAUCCAAUCCAGUACCUCACACAUUCUAGGCAAGCGCUCUACCACAACCCCGGCCCCCAAGCAUGAUAAUCUUGUUCUAAUAAAAAAGUUUAUUUAUUUUUCUCCA